rnacentral:rRNA from 1 species
CAGGCCUACGGGGGGCAGCAGUGAGGAAUAUUGGUCAAUGGGCGGAAGCCUGAACCAGAAAAGUAGCGUGCAGGAUGACGGCCCUACGGGUUGUAAACUGCUUUUAUACGGGAAUAACGCGCCUUACGUGUAGGGCUUUGCAUGUACCGUAUGAAUAAGGACCGGCUAACUCCGUGCCAGCAGCCGCGGUAAUACGGAAGGUCCGGGCGUUAUCCGGAUUUAUUGGGUUUAAAGGGAGCGUCGGCCGCAUGUC